rnacentral:rRNA from 1 species
AGGAAAUUGCAUUAAGGGUUGAUCCUGGCGUAAGAUUUGAGCGCUGGCGGCAUCGCUUUACGACAUGCAAGUCGACGGUAACAGGAGCAUGCUCCGCUUGCAAUGGCGACGGGUGAGUAAUAUAUCGGACGUACCCAAGAGUGGGGGAUAACCGUAGCGGAAAGUUACGCUAUAUACCGCAUACGAUCUAUGGAUGAAAGCAGGGGACCUUCGGGCCGUGUGCUCCUGGAGCGGCCGAUAUCUGAUUAGCUAGUUGGUGAGGUAAAGGCUCACCAAGGCGACGAUCAGUACCUGGUCUGAGAGGACGACCAACCACACUGGAACUGAUGACACGGUCCAGACUCCUACGGGAGGCAGCUAGUGGGGAAUUUUGGACAAUGGGCGCGAGCCUGAUCCAGCAAUGCCGCGUGAGUGAAGAAGGCCUUCGGGUUGUAAAGCUCUUUUGUCAGGGAAGAAACGGGCUUGGAUAA